CCACUUGGGCCGACGUAGCGCCUCCCGAUUCCUCGAGACGCUCACUCAGCUCUUCGAUCUCACGUGCAAGGUCGGCGCGCUGCUUCUCAGCCUAGAAUCCGAUGGUGAUGAAAGGAGAGAUCCAAGCUGCAGGGUGAGCCAUGCUGGCUUUCGGCGUCCGUCGAAGCCUACCGUUCAGUGGUGGGUGGAUUCCGGUGGCUGCAUUGUUGCAGGGUACACUGCAACGGAUUUUUACAUUCCCGGAUCAGAGGCGUGGUGGGGUCUACGGGUUCGCUUUGUCCUUUGAGAGGGAAUAUUGAACGAUGCUUUGGUGGAAUAAUGAACAUUCCAAG
rnacentral:lncRNA from 1 species